UGGUAGUAACAAAUAUCCUUGAUGAGACGAGAGGGCAAGUGGAUAUUCAGGUAGUAUGUUGCAGAGUCUUGAUUUUAGGUGCAUGUUUACAUAGAAUUCAAGCUAGCAGUUCUUGGUGGCAGUGUGUAAUAAGUUGGAUGUUUCAGUCCAAUCCCCAGAGGGCAGACGUCCACAUCACAUGAGGAAAUCACUACCCUGUCAGGUGUGCUCCUAGACUGCUUUAGCAGGGAAGCCAAGGGCUGAACAAGGGUAUCCAAAGAAAGAACAAUCCUAAGUAUCUGUCUCUCACUGGAAAGCUGCCCCCUCUUCUAAGGCUGAGUACAGGAUUCUUGUUUUCAGAGCUGCUAGUUCUGCACUCUUCAGAAGCUCAGCAUUUACGUGGGGACAAACUUGUCUCAAGCCUCACUGUUGGCAGGGGAAGAGAAAUGCUCUACUAAACAAAAUCUCAAGUCUGCAGGGAUAGAUGAACUGAAUGGACAUACCAGAUGGAAGAAUAAAACUUGAAAGCAGAAUAGAGAUCCAGAACUCUAAGCCUGGAAAGCUGAGAGCUUUAGCUAGUAAUAGGAAAGGGAGGCAAAUUAAUUAUUUUGGGAUUUUAGACACCUUUCCUAUAAUGUUAUGGAAGAUGUGCUCUUAUGCGGAGAAAUGAUUUUAAAAAGGAAACGUGUGUGUUCUCUAGUCACGUUAUAGACAAACAGUGAAGUUGCCAUGUCUUGGAUCUCUCUGUAGUACAGAUGCAAUAUGUGAAAUUGCUAGAAUGAAAGCAGAAAUGUUAAAAAAAAUACUUAGAGCUUUAAAGAGAUUGUGGUAUAAUGCCUUUGCAAAGGAGAACAGAAAACUUCCAUCCCUGAAUUUUUAAGAGUGCAAUUGAUUUAAGAGGACAAAGCUCAUUGGAGGUCAUGUCACUUGUGCUCCUAAGUCACUAAGCACUCCUGCCUGGUCAUCAAUCUAUAUAUGUGUGUGGUCCCCAUUAUUAUAUCUUCAUGCCUCACACUCUUUUAAUGUAUUUAUCUAUACACUGUCCUGUGUGGCAGGGAAAUAUUGUCUUCAUUUUGCACCUGAAACAGAUAUCUUCCAGGCCAGAUGUGUAAAGGCAUUUAGGUACCUGAUUUUAGCGAGCAAUACAAUCCUAAACACCUUUAAAAUAUUGGACAAACUGACUUGGACAAGGCAACAGUGGAAGUGUGUGGCAGACUACAGACUUGAGUCUCCAGUGACUAUACUGAUCAGUUAAUCGCAGGAUCAUCAUUCUUUUCUGUCUGAUGAGCACCAGGCAAUAUUUAAAUGAUAAUAAGUAGUACAGUAUCUAAAGAGCAACUUAUGAGACUUCAUUUAAAUAGACUGGAAAAAGGUCAUUUAAGGAAAUAGGAUAACAUUGUUCAAAUAUUUGAGAGGUACUGGCUUGAAGAAGGGCAAGGGACUAGUUUUUGUAAAUGUGUGUACUAAUGGUGUAAAAUUAAGCAUGAAAAUAUUCAUGUUAGCUAUAAGAAAACAAUGCUCAAUGAUAAGGGCAAUUAGCCAGUGGAAUAAACUGCUUACAGUGCUUACUGAGGUAGUUGAGUCAUGAUAAUUAGUGGUGUUUAAAAAUAGUUUUGAUAAAAAUGCAAGUGACUAUGAAGUUCUUGCAUGAUAGAGAGGUUAGUCCAAUUUCAGAUUUUCUGUGGACAAAGGCAGAAUUUAAUGUGAGAUAUUAAUUAGGGAUUUAUUUAGCUGAAAUUCAAGAUCCACAGCUGCUGGUCAUGUAGCGCCCUACGACUUGCAACCAACAGAACCUGGACUCAUAUUUUCAAAUUUCUCAACAGUGACCUCACAGAAUUAGAGUAAGGGCUAAUCCUUUGUAUCUCUUCUUGGGAGAGAUAAGAAGAUUUUAUUUAUAUCUGUAAAGGUUCUUUUUUUCAUCAUCAUAGAUAGAAUGUCUGCUUUUGAAGAUGUUUGCAUUACAAGAGGGGUUGACCAUUUUUUUAAGCCAACUAAGAUGUCACGAGAACAAGCACUGGAGGGUUGCUCUAAAAACUCACAUUUUUUAUCAUUUCAGGGGCAGUGUUCAAACUGCAGGUGAGGUAAGGUGAGAUUGGUAUAUCCAGGAAAAAAAAGGUAGAAACAUUAAGUGUAACAUCCCCUUUUCAUAUUCUGAAUGCUGCUUCAGGAUGUUUUUCAGUGGUUUAAUCAGAGAUAAUACAAAUAAAUAAUACCCACCAUACUUCUUAUAUAGCUCUUUACAUCUGUAGAUUUCAAAGUGAUGGAGAUGUGCCCAGCAGUGCAAGUCAAUGAUGAGUUUUCACCAGACAUUUUUCAUGAAAUAAUUCACCCCUCAACUUCUUUUCUAAGUAUUCCCCCUCAGAUCUUCUGGGAGAGUACCCUCCUAGGGAGAGCCCCAUGACAAAGUUCAGUAUGAUCUUGACCUACAAUGGCACCAGAACCAUGAGGCUUUCAAUAAUGAUGUUGGCAACCUUUGUAAAGAAACGAAGGUUUGUACAAUAGAGUCUCAUUUAACCUGGUA